ensembl:snRNA U4 U4 spliceosomal RNA
AACUUUGUGUAGUGGCAGUAUCGUAGCCAAUGAGGUUUAUCCAAGGCGCGAUUAUUGCUGAUUGAUAACAGUUUUGGUAAGA